GUCUUCUGAUCAGUUGUUUGCCUCUACGCCCGUGCCGCAGAGCUUGCACGAGAGUGGUAGUGGCGCAGGCGCUGGUGGUGGUGGUAGUGGAGGUAAUGGAGCCGCCCACGGGAAUGGCCACUUGGGAAUGCCCAUUCCUGUCCCGUAUCAUCCGGCGGCGGGGCCGAUGAUGCCAAUGCCGAUGUAUGGACACAUGGGCAAUCAUCACCAUCAUCAGGGAUUCGAUGGUAAUCUUCCCUAUAAUAUGUUACAACAGAGGG
rnacentral:misc_RNA from 1 species